UACGGCCAUAUCACGCUGAAACAAUGUUUCUUGUACGAACACUGAGGUUAAGCAUCGUAGAGCUUGGUCUGUACUAAGGUGGGUGACCACUUGGGAAUACCAAGUGCUGUAAG